rnacentral:rRNA from 1 species
GAUGAACGCUGGCGGCGUGCCUAAUACAUGCAAGUCGAGCGAACAGACGAGGAGCUUGCUCCUUCGACGUUAGCGGCGGACGGGUGAGUAACACGUAGGUAACCUACCUAUAAGACUGGGAUAACUUCGGGAAACCGGAGCUAAUACCGGAUAAUACUUCGAACCGCAUGGUUCGAUAGUGAAAGAUGGCUUUGCUAUCACUUAUAGAUGGACCUGCGCCGUAUUAGCUAGUUGGUAAGGUAACGGCUUACCAAGGCAACGAUACGUAGCCGACCUGAGAGGGUGAUCGGCCACACUGGAACUGAGACACGGUCCAGACUCCUACGGGAGGCAGCAGUAGGGAAUCUUCCGCAAUGGGCGAAAGCCUGACGGAGCAACGCCGCGUGAGUGAUGAAGGUCUUCGGAUCGUAAAACUCUGUUAUUAGGGAAGAACAAACGUGUAAGUAACUGUGCACGUCUUGACGGUACCUAAUCAGAAAGCCACGGCUAACUACGUG